rnacentral:tRNA from 1 species
GUCCACACACUGAGAUAGCUUAGUCGGUAGAGUAUGAGACUCUAAUCUCAGGAUCAUGGGUUUGAGCCCCAUGUUGGGCU